CUCAUGGUUUCACGGUAUUGCAAUGAGAACAAUUUAAAACCCUUAGCGAGAAUCAAGUGGAGGACAAGUCUGGUGCCAGCACCCGCGGUAAUUCCAGCUCCACUAGCGUAUAUUAAAGUUGUUGCAGUUAAAAAGCUCGUAGUUGAACCUCUGUCUGGGGCUAGUUUUGGCUUUGGUCAGGCUAGUUCUAGGCAUCCGCCUACAAGACUUAGAGGGCAUUCAGUUGUUCACUAGGAGGAGUAGGCAUUUUACUUUGAAAAAAUUAGAGUGUUUAAGGCAGGCAAUCGCCCGCAUAUAUUAGCAUGGAAUAAUAGAAUAGGACACUUUUCCAUUUCGUUGGUUAUUGGAAUCGUGUAAUGAUUAAUAGGGACAGUUGUGGGCAUUUGUAUUUAAUUGUCAGAGGUGAAAUUCUUGGAUUUAUUAAAGACAAACUAACGCGAAAGCAUUUGCCAAGGAUGUUUUCAUUAAUCAAGAACGAAAGUUAGGGGAUCAAAGACGAUCAGAUACCGUCCUAGUCUUAACUAUAAACUAUUCCGACUCAAUGUUUGACUGGCUUAUAUAAUCAGUUGAGCGUUGUAUGAGAAAUCAAAGUCUUUAGGUUCUGGGGGGAGUAUGGUUGCAAAGCUGAAACUUAAAGGAAUUGACGGAAGAGCACAACCAGGAGUGGAUUCUGCGGCUUAAUUUGACUCAACACGGGGAAACUUACCAGGUUAAAACAAUAGUGGGAUUGACAGUUUGAGAGCGCUUUCUUGAUUGGUUGGGUGGUGGUGCAUGGCCGUUCUUAGUUGGUGGAGUGAUUUGUCUGCUUAAUUGCGUUAACGAACGAGACCUUAACCUGCUUACUAGACUGGCGAUCAUCAAUCGUUAGCUCUUCUUAGAGGGACUUUGGUUGUUUUAACUCCAAGGAAGUUUGAGGCAAUAACAGGUCUGUGAUGCCCUUAGAUAUCCUGGGCCGCACGCGUCAUACAAUGACUAGUUCAGAAAGUUUUCUCCUGACCCGAAAGGGGAUGGGUAAUCUUGAUAAUACUAGUCGUGUUAGGGAUCGAUCUUUGCAAUUAUAGAUCUUGAACGAGGAAUUCCUAGUAAGUGCGGUUCAUCAGACCGUACUGAUUACGUCCCUGCUCUUUGUACACACCGCCCGUCGCUUCUACCGAGUGGGUGGUCCGGUGAGAUAAUUGAACUUCGCAGGUAACUGAGAGGAAAGAUUAUCAAACCUAUCCACCU
rnacentral:rRNA from 1 species